rnacentral:rRNA from 1 species
UACGUAGGUGGCGAGCGUUUGUCCGGAUUUACUGGGCGUAAAGGAUGCGUAGGCGGAUAUUUAAGUGAGAUGUGAAAUACCCGAGCUUAACUUGGGUGCUGCAUUUCAAACUGGAUAUCUAGAGUGUGGGAGAGGAGAAUGGAAUUCCUGGUGUAGCGGUGGAAUGCGCAGAAGUAUACGAAGGGAAGGAACCACCGGGUGGCGAAGG